rnacentral:rRNA from 1 species
GAUGAACGCUGGCGGCAUGCCUAAUACAUGCAAGUCGAACGAGAGGAAGGAAAGCUUGCUUUUCUGAAUCUAGUGGCGAACGGGUGAGUAACACGUAGGUAACCUGCCCAUGUGCCCGGGAUAACUUCUGGAAACGGAUGCUAAAACCGGAUAGGUAGCAGACAAGCAUUUGACUGCUAUUAAAGUGGCUAAGGCCAUGAACAUGGAUGGACCUGCGGUGCAUUAGCUAGUUGGUGAGGUAACGGCCCACCAAGGCGACGAUGCAUAGCCGGCCUGAGAGGGCGGACGGCCACAUUGGGACUGAGACACGGCCCAAACUCCUACGGGAGGCAGCAGUAGGGAAUUUUCGUCAAUGGGGGGAACCUUGAACGAGCAAUGCCGCGUGAGUGAAGAAGGUCUUCGGAUCGUAAAGCUCUGUUGUAAGAGAAAAACGACAUUCAUAGGGAAUGAUGAGUGAGUGAUGGUAUCUUACCAGAAAGU